rnacentral:tRNA from 1 species
GGCCCGUUAGCUCAGUUGGUUAGAGCGUGGUGCUAAUAACGCCAAGGUUGUGGGUUCGUUCCCCACACGGGCCA